UCCCGACUCGCUUCCAACCGUCGGCAGCCUCUCCGUUCUCAUCUCUUGUUUCCGACGCCGGCAGAACACAGAGGGGAGCGCCGUCGCCGCCAUCACCGUGUUGAAGUUGUCCGUCGUCGCGCGCAGCCAAGGUGGUCGUGAAACCAGACCCGAGCCACGGAUCCGAUUCGAGCAACCCGACCCGAGCCACGGAUCCGAUUCGAGUGAGCCGAGCCGAGCGAGCCGAGCAAGCCGCGAGCCGAGCGAGCCGAGCCGCCAGCCGAACCAAGCCGAGCCGCGACCGAGUGAGCCGAGCCGCGAGCCGAACCAAGCCGAGCCGCGAGCCGAGUGAGCCGAGCCGCCAGCCGAACCAAGCCGAGCCACGAGCCGAGUGAGCCGAGCCGCGAGCCGAACCAAGCCGAGCCGUGAGCCGAGCCACGAGCCGAACCAAGCCGAGCCGCAAGCCGAGUGAGCCGAGCCGCGAGCCGAACCAAGCCGAGCCGAGCCGAGCUGAGCCGAGCCGAGCUGAGCCGAGCCGAGCCGAGCCACCUAAGCCUUCUUUCCUCCACUUCGGUUCACGGUAGUACAGAGUUGACGCUUAAGUUCUCGGGUUCCGCGGCAGGCCUGGUUGGAGAUAGUUUCCUUUCCUUGGGUGGAUCUGUUGAGCGUAGAUUUCGAUCGAGGGGCAUAACCGAAUUUCAGGUAGGGGUACAGCGAGGGGCAGACCGACGAGAGGCAGGAAGGAUGCGUGAAGGCCAUAUGGACGCG